ACCAAACUAAUUAGAGCAGUAAAAAUACAUGUUUUGUCAUACCCGUGGUACAUGGUCUGAUAUACCACGGCUGUCAGCCAAUCAGCAUUCAGGGCUCGAACCACCCAGUUUAUAACUGGGUCUAACACAUGGAGUAGCUUGAGGACAUGUAUCUUCUCCAUCUUCUAUAUCUUUCUCUCACACCAGGGUAUGGAGUAGCUUGAGGACAUGUAUCUUCUCCAUCUUCUAUAUCUUUCUCUCACACCAAAGUAUGGAGUAGCUUGAGGACAUGUAUCUUCUCCAUCUUCUAUAUCUUUCUCUCUCACACACACUUCGCUCCGCCCACAACCGUAAGGCUCUCCAGAGGGUAGUGAGGUCUGCACAACGCAUCACCGGGGGCAAACUACCUGCCCUCCAGGACACCUACACCACCCGAUGUCACAGGAAGGCCAUAAAGAUCAUCAAGGACAACAACCACCCGAGCCACGGCCUGUUCACCCCACUAUCAUCCAGAAGGCGAGGUCAGUACAGGUGCAUCAAAGCAGGGACCGAGAGACUGAAAAACAGCUUCUAUCUCAAGGCCAUCAGACUGUUAAACAGCCACCACUAACAUUUAGUGGCCGCUGCCAACAUACUGACUCAACUCCAGCCACUUUAAUAAUGGGAAUUGAUGGAAAUUAUGUAAAAAUGUAUCACUAGCCACUUUAAACAAUGCCACUUAAUAUAAUGUUUACAUACCCUACAUUACUCAUCUCAUAUGUAUAUGUAUAUACAUUACUCUAUAUCAUCUACUGCAUCUUGCCAUCUUUAUGUAAUACAUGUAUCACUAGCCACUUUAAACUAUGCUACUUUAUGUUUAUAUACCCUACAUUACUCAUCUCAUAUGUAUAGACUGUACUCUAUACCAUCUACUGCAUCUUGCCUAUGCCGUUCUGUACCAUCACUCAUUCAUAUAUCUUUAUGUACAUAUUCUUCAUCCCUUUACACUUGUGUGUAUAAGGUAGUAGUUAUGGAAUUGUUAGGUUAGAUUACUUGUUGGUUAUUACUACAUUGUCGGAACUAGAAGCACAAGCAUUUCGCUACACUCGCAUUAACAUCUGCUAACCAUGUGUAUGUGACAAAUAAAUUUGAUUUUAAGAUGCUUCACUGUUGUUCUGGGAUUGAUUUGCACUAUUCCCACCAAAGUACGCUCAUCUCCAGGAGCCAGAACGCGUCUACUUCCUGAGUGGUAUGACGGCUGCGUGAUCCCAUGGUGUUUAUACUUGCGUACUAUUUUUCGUACUGAUGAAUGUGGUACCUUCAAGCAUUUGGAAAUUGCUCCCAAUGAUGAACCAGACUUGUGGAGGUCUAUAAUUGUUUUGCUGAUUUCUUUUGGUUUUCCCAUGUCAAGCAAAGAGGCACUGAGGUUGAAGGGGUGAGAGGAUUUGCCAGGUCUCUGAGAAUGGUUUUGAACAUCCAGUUUGGUCUAAAGACAUUGAGUUAAUUAAUUCCCUUGGUGUUGGCUGCUUUUUCAGCCCUUCAAUGCUUCUUCCUAAUGGCUUACUUGUUCUGUUUGAGAACCGGACGCGGAGGAAGGAAGAGGAAAAUAAAGCGAUUCCAGAACAAUCUUUUCUCUCCAUCUUCCUCUCUUCUAAAUCAGCCGCUCCAGAGACCAUAAAAGACCUUCUGCUCGUGAUAAAAAAUAUAAUUCUGCUAGUUUCAUUUUCUUUUCCAAUCAUGCUCCAAAAACAUCAUUGUUCCACUUCAAAUACUUUAUUGUUCCAUGAUUAUAAUUUCCAUGGAUGAGAAGUGAAAGAGGAACACGUACAUGUACUCUGUGACGCCCCUUCCAUCUGUUGACGCAAAUCACACGUUACUAAAAUGCAUGUUCAUUGACUACAUACAAGUAUAGCCUUAUACCAACACAUGUAAAGUAAGAUCUAAUGUAAACAAUGCACGCAUCAUGAAACAUAUCAUUGUUUAAUUGUGUAGAAGCAUGAUACAUAUUUUACAUAUAGUUAUAUAGUGAGUGAUGGAUGUACUGAAUAGCUAAACAAUUAUACUGUGAAUAAUUAAUAACCAAUAAUGAUGAAAAGUGAUGAUCUAGGGAAACAGGGAUAUUGUCUGUACUACAGCGUUGCUAUUGCUAUAGUUUAAGAAUGAUUACAUAAAACAUGGUUAUUUAUACUGGGCCUUGUACAUUACAUAUUAUAUCUAUAACCUAUUCUACAAUGCACCAUGGUAAUACAUGUUUAGCACGUAAUCCAGGCAUUAUCAAGAUGUCUCUUCCCUGACACAUAGGAAAUCAGGGUAAUGCUUUAAAAAAGGUAUGUUCCUCUGGACCUGUGGGAUUCUACCAAGGCUUUAUAGUAUUAAUCUGAAGUAUAGAGACGUAUAACUACAGCCAGACAAUGGAGGUUAUACCUAUUCAUUAUUGUGUUAAAUCUAAAAUGUAUUCUCAGGCAGGAUUAAGUAUUGACUAAUACAAAGCCUGUUUACUGCAGGUAAUUACUAUCAUUCUAUUAUAAUCUCAUUGAGAUCAAUGUGUCUCUGUUGAAUUCACAGAAUGAAUCUGCAUACUAUGAGUUUAUUUAUCAGGCUGUAUCCCUGAAGCAUCUCUUUACUCUACAUCUAUAAUUCAUAAUGCCUCUUAAAAGGUGAAUUACUUGCGAUAUUGUAACUGCUUGUUUUAACUUAAAUAUAUACCUCAAAUGUGUAAGUAAUUUAAGGGAAAGAGGGUAAUAUCAGUAAUUUAAGGGAAAGGGGGUAAUAUCAGUAAUUUAAGGGAAAGGGGGUAAUAUCAGUAAUUUAAGGGAAAGAGGGUUGUAUCAGUAAUUUAAGGGAAAGGGGGUAAUAUCAGUAAUUUAAGGGAAAGGGGGUCAUAUCAGUAAUUUAAGGGAAAGGGGGCAAUACGCCUUGAUGAAGCAUUGGAUUGCAGAAAAAUAAAUAAUUGAUGGUCCAUUAUUUUUAUUCACUACCACACUGACUGAUAACAAUAUUCUUCCUGCUAAUUGUCUAGAAACCACCAUUAAAAAUGUUAAAAGAGAAUGUGUUCACUCCUCAAAUGAAUCAGGGAAUGUCAUGUUGAUGUGUGUCUGAGGACAGAUAGAUGGACUGUAUGUUCCUAUCCCACCUGUCUGGAAAAGAUAGGCCUAAUAAUGGCAACGGAAUGCUGUCCAACAAUAAAAUGCAUUAUUAACGUUUUCACCUUUAUUUAGUUAAGUGAUAAUGCCGGAUAAACUGGUGUUAGGAAGAUAUAUUGGCAUGGGUGUUCUUGGCAAACCAUGCCAAUAUUUCCUCCAAACACCGGCUUCUUUGGCAUUAUCACUUUUAUACAACACGUUACCAACGUAUUCAAAUAAUGAUUGACAUAUUUUCAUGAAUUUAUUCAUACUAUUUUAUCCUUCCACAAGAUAUAGUCCCAUUCUUAUGCCUUGCUUGCUAGCUAGCCAACUACGGCUAACUUACAGUCACGUUUAAGCUGUUAUUCUCGGGAAAUGUAUUUGGAUACAUCCAUAACAAUGAGUUAAUGAGCCUCGAUUUCACCCGCCAUAGGAAAUGUUAGGACACUGUUUUUCAGAGGAGCUAGCCAACAACACAGCUAACACAAUCACUUCAAACUGAAGUUGGAAAGACUGCAAACUAGCUGCACUUCGUUUCAUUUGACCUGCUUUUUAUUGACAUUUCUUUGUAUAUAUCCAUACAAAUGAUGCCAACUGAGUCAUGAUUUUGACUGGAUGACAAACGCUGCCUGCCUGUCUGUCUCCUCCUGACACGUUCAUUACUAUGGGACCGUUGGAGAUCGAAUUUGAAUAUUGAAACAAUGUUGCAAAUGUUGGAGAGACAGACCACAAGGUUUAUACAAAUCUCCGCUGUUAAAUGUUAGUCUAAAAGAAAUGUGUAGAUGCUUUUUAUAGUGGAGAUCAAGUUUAUAAGUUGUCUGGCUGGGCUGAUGAGACAGUCAGACUGAAAGUGUUUUUAUUUUUUAUUUAACCUUUCUAUACUAUUCUACUGUAUCUUAGUUUAUGCCGCUCUGACAUUGCUCGUCCAUAUAUUUAUCUAUUCUUAAUUCCAUUCCUUACUUAGAUUUGUGUGUAUUGGGUAUAUGUUAAAAUGUUAGAUAUUGCUGCACUGUCAGAACUAGACACACAAGCAUUUUUUAAAACAUUUUUUAUUUAACCUUUAUUUAACUAAGAAAGUCAGUUAAAACCAAAUUCUUAUUUACAUUGUUUGCCUACAUUUUAGCGUCAUAUAUUUAGCCGGUGGUAACUUGUGGAAUAGACACUGGCUGGAAUGCGGUUUUAACCAAUCAGCAUUCAGGAUUAGAUCCACCUGUUGUAUAAUUAAGUAAUAAAGCAUGAGGGGGUUUGGUAUAUAGCCAAUAUACCACGGCUAAGGGCUGUUCCCCAGUAGGCCGUCAUUGUAAAUAAGAAUUUGUUCUUAACUGACUUGCCUAGUUAAAUAAAGGUACAAAAAUAUAUAUAUAUAAAAUGAUGCACAAGGCAUCGCGGGGUGCCUGGACACAGCCCUUAGCCGUGGUAUAUUGGCCAUACACCACAAACCCCCGAGGGGCCUUAUUGCCUCUAUAAACUACUAAGCAACGUAAUUACAGCAGUAAAAAUAAAUGUUUUGUCAUACCGUGGUAUAGGGUCUGAUAUAUCACGGCUAUCUGCCAAUCAGCAUUCAGGGUUCAAACCACCCAGUUUAUAAUCAGAAAUAAACAAUGCAAACAACAAAGUAGAUGUGUGUUUGAUGAAGGUUA